CCUACGGGUGGCAGCAGUGAGGAAUAUUGGUCAAUGGACGAGAGUCUGAACCAGCCAAGUAGCGUGAAGGAUGAAUGCCCUAUGGGUUGUAAACUUCUUUUAUAUGGGAAUAAAACGUUCCACGUGUGGGAUUUUGUAUGUACCAUAUGAAUAAGGAUCGGCUAACUCCGUGCCAGCAGCCGCGGUAAUACGGAGGAUCCGAGCGUUAUCCGGAUUUAUUGGGUUGAAAGGGAGCGUAGGGGGAUUGUUAAGUCAGUUGUGAAAGUUUGCGGCGCAACCGUAAAAUUGUAGUUGAAACUGGCAGUCUUGAGUACAGUAGAGGUGGGCGGAAUUCGUGGUGUAGCGGUGAAAUGCUUAGAUAUCACGAAGAACUCCGAUUGCGAAGGCAGUUCACUGGACUGCAACUGACACUGAGGCUCGAAAGUGUGGGUAUCAAACAGGAUUAGAUACCCCAGUAGUC
rnacentral:rRNA from 1 species